AUGCUCGCUCCGGCAACACAUAUACUAAAAUUGGAACAAUAUAGAGAAGAUUAGCAUGGCCCCUCUGCAAGGAUGGCAUGCAAAAAACGUAAGAAUAAACGGGACCGG